CUGCAGCCCAAGUGGUGAUCGAUUUUAUUGAGCCUAAAGCGUCCGUAGCCGGACUAGUAAACCCUUGGGUAAAUUGGGCAGCUUAACUGUCCAAAUUCCGAGGGGACUGCUAGUCUUGGGACCGGGAGAGGUCAGAGGUACUCAAGGGGUAGGGGCUAAAUCCUGUAAUCCUUUGGGGACCACCAGUGGCGAAGGCGUCUGACUAGAACGGAUCCGACGGUAAGGGACGAAACCCUGGGGCGCGAACCGGAUUAGAUACCCGAGUAGUCC
rnacentral:rRNA from 1 species